rnacentral:lncRNA from 1 species
AUAAUCGGUAGCUUGUAUAUUUUUUUAUGUGGUAGCUUUUAAUUUUUUUUCUUUUUAAUUGUUCGUUUUUAUUUUUUAAUGUUCCAGAUUUAGUUCUAUAAACUCAAAGUUUACUUUAUGAGUUCUUUUCGAUGGAAAACAUUCAACGGUAUCAUUAAUUCAUUUUUAAACAUCCUCUCUGUCUCUCAUUCAUUCCUCAUCUUAAAUUCGUUCUCAAUAAUUAAUACGUUUUUC